rnacentral:rRNA from 1 species
GACGAACGCUGGCGGCGUGCCCAAUACAUGCAAGUCGAGCGCAGGAAAUCGACGGAACCCUUCGGGGGGAAGUCGACGGAAUGAGCGGCGGACGGGUGAGUAACACGUAAAGAACCUGCCCUCAGGUCUGGGAUAACCACGAGAAAUCGGGGCUAAUACCGGAUGGGUCAUCGGACCGCAUGGUCCGAGGAUGAAAGGCGCUUCGGCGUCGCCUGGGGAUGGCUUUGCGGUGCAUUAGCUAGUUGGUGGGGUAAUGGCCCACCAAGGCGACGAUGCAAGUCCGACCGGAGAGGGUAAGCGGCCACACUGGGACUGAGACAAGGCCCAGACUCCUACGGGAGGCAGCAGUAGGGAAUCUUCCGCAAUGGACGAAAGUCUGAUGGAGCAACGCCGCGUGAACGAUGAAGGCCUUCGGGUCGUAAAGUUCUGUUGUAAGGGAAGAACAAGUGCCGCAGGCAAUGGCGGCACCUUGACGGUACCUUGCGAGAAAGCCACGGCUAACUACGUGCCAGCCGCCGCGGUAA